AUGACUUGUGGGUAGCGGUGAAAUUCCAAUCGAGCCCGGAGAUAGCUGGUUCUCCCCGAAAUAGCUUUAGGGCUAGCCUCAAGGUGAGAGAUACGGAGGUAGAGCACUGAAUGUCCUAGGGGGUAUUGCACCUACCGAAGACUAUCAAACUCCGAAUGCCGUCAUCUUAUACUUGGGAGUCAGACUGUGGGUGAUAAGAUUCAUAGUCGAAAGGGCAACAGCCCAGAUCGUCAGCUAAGGUCCCUAAAUGUAAGUUAAGUGGUAAAGGAUGUGGGAUUGCACAGACAACCAGGAUGUUGGCUUAGAAGCAGCCACUCAUUCAAAGAGUGCGUAAUAGCUCACUGGUCGAGUGAUCCUGCGCCGAAGAUUUCCGGGGCUAAAACUUACUACCGAAGCU
rnacentral:rRNA from 1 species